GGAGUGCAACGGCCCUCAUUUUCCUUGGCUCCCCGGAGAUCUCAGCAUGAAGGAGGUGAAGAGCGAGCGGGAGCGGGGCAGCCGGCGGAGACACCGGGACGGGGACGUGGUGGCGGCGGCGGUGGUGGUGAAGCAGGAGCGCCUCAGCCCGGAGGCCGCGCCCCCGGCCCAGCACCGCCCCGACUCCGCGGGCCCGAGCCCGUCCCCGCCGGCCGGAGAACCGGGCCGGGCCGGGCGCCGCGGGAGCCGGGCCCGCGGCGGCAGCCGGUCCCCAGCCAGAAAGAAAAACAAGUCUUCAGGGAGAAGGAGCAAGUCUCCACGGAGUAGGAGAAGCCGAAGUCCUCACCACUCCACAGUAAAAGUAAAACAGGAACGCGAGGAUCACCCCCGGAGAGGACGCGAUGAUCGGCAGCACCGUGAGCCCUCCGGACAAGAACACAGGCGGGCUCGGACCAGUGACCGAGAUCGACACCGCAGCCAUUCCCACCCCAGGAAAACCUCGAACGAGAGGUCUGGGAGUGGGCAGGCGCAGGGACGGGAGCGAGACAGCCAGAGUCUGCAGGCUCAGGAGGCGGAGCGGGAGUUUCACAAUGCCCGCCGGAGGGAGCACCGCCAGAAGAAUGAAGUCGGUGCUGCUGGUAGCGAGUCUCAGGAGUCGGUCCCUCGACCUGGAGGCCACAGCAAGGACAAAGAAGUGCCGGUUAAAGAAAAGCCGAGCUUUGAACUUUCUGGAGCACUUCUUGAGGACACCAACACUUUCCGGGGAGUAGUUAUUAAAUAUAGUGAGCCCCCAGAAGCCCGGAUCCCCAAGAAACGCUGGCGCCUCUACCCCUUUAAGAAUGAUGAGGUACUUCCGGUCAUGUACAUUCACCGACAAAGUGCUUACCUCCUGGGUCGCCACCGCCGAAUCGCGGACAUUCCAAUCGACCAUCCCUCGUGCUCAAAGCAGCACGCCGUCUUUCAGUAUAGACUUGUGGAAUAUACUCGCGCUGAUGGGACAGUUGGCCGCAGGGUGAAGCCCUACAUCAUUGACCUUGGCUCAGGCAAUGGAACAUUCUUGAAUAACAAGCGCAUUGAGCCGCAGAGAUACUACGAACUAAAGGAAAAGGAUGUACUUAAGUUUGGCUUCAGCAGCAGAGAGUAUGUUCUGCUUCACGAGUCGUCAGACACCUCUGAAGUAGACAGGAAAGAAGAUGAAGAUGAAGAAGAGGAGGAAGAAGUGUCUGACAGCUAGCAGACUAAAACAUAACCCGAACUCAGAGACCUCUUCUUUGAAGGCUGUGGGAUUGACUCGAGCACUGUGGUGUGGUGCUCUCUGUAAUGCCUCUUAUUGCCUUAAGCCUUUCCUCUGUUGCUAACCAGCUUAUGUUACAGUAAGAAAAUGGACUUGGGUGAACUUUUUCUGUGGCUCAUCAACCACAUGCUUGCAGGCAUGUUUUCAGGACAGUCUCACCAACACAUUGUGUUUUGUAGAAACAUUGUGGUUUUCGUUGGUGCUUUAAGGAUUGGCUGCCUAGGAAACUUUCAAACCUCUUGGUUGGAGGAGAAUUGUGACUUGUUCUCCUUUGUACAGUUCUUUUAUUUAUAGAGUUGUUAGGCUUUGUGGACCAGGCGGUUUUGUUUAUGUUUUUGUUUGGGGGACAGACCCCUGAAUAGAGAAUUUUACUAAGCUUUGGUUAUCACCAAAACAGCCUCCAGAAUAUACCAAAGCUUUGACCUGGUUGAGCUCUUGAGACAUAGAAUUUGAUUUUGCACUUCAUUUGGGGGGUGGGGAGAGUUUACCAAAUGACCUCAUUAUUCACUGUCAGACUUGCUUUUCAGAGCCUGCUUAAGCAUAUGGGAAGAUCAUGGUGAUACAAACAGGUAAUAUAUUAACGUCACAGAAGGCUGAAAUGGGUCAUGGUUUCCUGUGAGAGAAUUUUGGUUUCUCCAUGGAACAUGUACAUAACAAUUUGAUCAUCUUAUCUGGUCUUUGACUUUGUAUUUUAUUCAGAUGUUGUCUCCCUUUUUUCUUUGAGAAACACUGUCCUUCAUGUGGCAGGGUCCUUGCUUGAUUUUAACAAUGUGUAUAUGUCUAAAGGAGUUGUAUCGUUUACAUGGUUCAUCUUUUUUUUUUAUAAACAAUGUCACAUACAUUGUAUUUACCUUCCCCAGGCUGGAAACUAUGGAAAUUGCCUAGUUUUCUAAUUUUCCACCGGAGGAAUAUGUGACAAAAGUCAAAGAAAAGACACAAGUCAUCUCUAAACCCAAAUAUGAUCAGCAGACAGCUUGAAGUUGACACAAUACUGAAAGCUUUCUUCACGAGUCAAUUCAUUGCUUAGAAACUUGUUUUUGGAACUGGACGGACAGCUCAGUGGGUUGCUGCACAAGCAUCGCAUGCAGGAUGCCUGACAUGGCAUGGUGCCUGAGCACUGCCUGGAGUGUUGCCCAAGCACAGAACAGGGAGUAGACACUGCCCAGGUGUGACCUAAACCCAAAAUAGAAAUUUGUGUUCAUCUUAAUAUUUAUAACUUCUUCAUUUCCCACCUUUUACCACCCUGGUUGACUUGUCUAAAAAUCAAGCCCUUUGCAAAAUAGUCCUUUGCUUCCGAGCCUCUUAAGACCCUGUGGUGCUCUGCAGUUCUGCUAAUGUAGAGGCAAUAU